AUUUUGAAAAACAACUACUGGAAGAUAUCUCCUGAUUCAGAUUUAUGAGCAAGACAAUCGUGCUUCAAUGGUCAAAGUAGCUCUUCUGAGUGUGUUUCAUCAGCGACAUCAACGCCAUGUGGGUCAACAUCACUGAAUGAAACUGCUUCAAUACGAAAGCUUACAAGUGAAGAUAUAGAUAGAAGAGAGAUUUUGAUGGCGAGUAUGGUUAUCGAAUGAUUGAACUUUCAAACCUAGCAAGUGCAUUUCAGUCCUUGCAUAAUUGGGAAUUAGGUGGAAAGUUGAAAGUUACCAAUGAUGAGUCUCGUAGAUAUGGAAAUAGCAAAGUCAUUGUUGAGUCAGAUGUUGCAGAGAUUGCUGUGAGUUAUGAUGGCACAUGGGCUAAGCAAGGGUUCACUGCAAACUUUGGAAUUGAUUUUGUUAUUUCUGUUGACACUGGUGAGGUUCUUGACUAUGGUUUUGGAUCCAAAUUAUCGAAGUUUGACAUGGGUCCCAUUUUUAUUAAAAUCGGUCAAGUAUUCGCACAGGAAUCGCAAAUUAAAAUCAGCAAACCACUUUGAAUUAUCACCGGAGUUUAUCGGCAUUAUCAUACCAUGUGAUCUUCUACGAUUGUCAGCAAGAUUGAAGAUUGUUCGAAGAAGAAGGAGUUCGCCGUUGACUAAAACGUUUAUCUGAACAGCCAGUUGUCAAAAGAUGAAGUAGAAAUAUUUUCUUAAAGCUGUGACAGUUUAAUAUCAGUUCAACUGAUUCAGUUGGGGAACUUGUGGAGGUGAAUUUCAAAAUAGCGAUGCCACAGAGAUGAUGCCA